rnacentral:rRNA from 1 species
GAUGAACGCUAGCGGCAGGCCUAACACAUGCAAGUCGAGGGGUAUUAGGAGCUUGCUCCUAAGAGACCGGCGCACGGGUGCGUAACGCGUAUGCAAUCUACCUUUUACAGGGGAAUAGCCCAGAGAAAUUUGGAUUAAUGCCCCAUAGUAUAUAUUAUUCGCAUGUUUGAUAUAUUAAAGUUCCAACGGUAAAAGAUGAGCAUGCGUCCCAUUAGUUAGUUGGUAAGGUAACGGCUUACCAAGACGAUGAUGGGUAGGGGUCCUGAGAGGGAGAUCCCCCACACUGGUACUGAGACACGGACCAGACUCCUACGGGAGGCAGCAGUGAGGAAUAUUGGACAAUGGGCGCAAGCCUGAUCCAGCCAUGCCGCGUGCAGGAAGAAGCAUCUAUGGUGUGUAAACUGCUUUUGUACGGGAAGAAACACCCCUUCGCGAAGGGACUUGACGGUACCGUAAGAAUAAGGAUCGGCUAACUCCGUGCCAGCCGCCGCAGUAA